rnacentral:misc_RNA from 1 species
AAUCAACUUAAAUAUGAUCUCCAUUUGUACUCCCUUCAACUCGUGAGGCUUGAAGUUAAACAGUGGGGGAAGGAACCGUCCAUUCGGUAGACGGGCAUUCGGGUCACGGAGCUCGUCAAAGAAUGGAUGAAUCAAUGCCUCCAAAGCAGUACUACGCAGAUUAGGGGAGUACUGGAGAAGUCUAGAGACCAGAUCCACAGCCUCAGGUGGCAUUCUCUUAUGGAAGAUCUUGUGCCAGGGAUGAGCUUUAAUCUGCGGAAACUUGAACUCUGUGUAAUUUGGAUUCAUGCAUUUGAUUUCUUCUCUUGUGGGAGUGCCUAGUAUCUUGAUUAUUUCAACAAGUUGGUCA